AGGCAGACUUGUCCUAAUGUGACAACUGGAUUGAUAUCUGGGGAACGGGAACCCUGGUGACUGUCUCCUCAGUCCCCAAGACCUCACCCACUGUUUUCCCUAUGAGCCUCUGUGACUCUAGAACUGGUGACUCAGUGGCCCUAGGCUGCCUUGCUCAAGGCUUCUUCCCAGAGCCUGUAACGCUGUCCUGGAAUUACAAUGGCUCUGAAGGCACAGUGAGGAGCUAUCCUGCUAUGCUAUCUGGAAAUACAUACCUCCAAACCAGUGUGCUUGAUCUGCCUGCCAACCAGUGCCCUGAGGCUUACAAGUGCCGUGCAGAACACUAUAACACCAGUGUUGACGCGAAUGUUCCCUGCCCAGUACCUCCUCGCCCAUGUGAUUGCCCAAGUGGAGUUCAUGUAUCCCUGAGUGGCCCCUCCCUGGAGAGCCUGCUCCUGGGUAUAGGCGCCAACCUGACAUGCACACUCAGUGGCAUCAAGAACAGUAAUGGAGCCACAUUCACAUGGGUGCAUGAUACAGCCCAGGCAUCAACUUUGAGACCUAUCCAAGGAGCACCUGAGCAAGACUCUAAUGGCAAGUACAGGGUGUCCAGUGUCCUGGAGAUCUGCACUGAGGAGUGGCUCCGUGGUGACACCUUUUCCUGCACUGUGUCCCAUUCUGAGAUAGAAACUACUACUAAGACCAUCUACAAGCCAAAAGUACCCCAGAUACCACCCCAGAUCUACCUGCUGGCACCAUCAGCAGAUGAACAAGCCUUAAAUGAAAUGGUCUCAAUCACAUGCCUGGUGAGAGGCUUUAGCCCAGAAGACAUUUUCAUACGAUGGCUAAAAGGGUCUGAGGAGCUGCCCAAGAAGGACUAUAUCACCAGCAACCCUUACCCAGAGCCCAAGAGCACCAGCACCUACAUGGUAUCUAGCAUCCUCCAAGUCCAAAGCACUGAUUGGAAAAAUGAAAACAAAUACUCCUGUGUGGUAGGCCAUGAAGCUCUUCCCCUGAACUUCACCCAGCAAACCAUCGACCGAUUGUCUGGUAAACCCACGAAUGUCAAUGUAUCUGUCAUCAUGUCUGAUAUCUAUGGUACCUGUUAUUAAACACAGACUAAACCACCAGGCCCCCAUCACUGCCCAUAACUUGAAUUACAAGGCAUGGAUGAAGGGGACAUAGUUCUAUAGAAAAGUACCUAAUGGAAUAAAUCUUGACACUCAGAA